rnacentral:rRNA from 1 species
CAGCCGCCGCGGUAAUACCGGCGGCCCGAGUGGCGGCCACUAUUAUUGGGCUUAAAGCGUCCGUAGCCGGGUUGGUUAGUCUCCCGGGAAAUCUGGCCGCUUAACGGUCAGAAUUCCGGGAGAUACUGCCAGCCUAGGGACCGGGAGAGGCCGAGGGUAUUCCCGGAGUAGGGGUGAAAUCCUAUAAUCCCGGGAGGACCACCUGUGGCGAAGGCGCUCGGCUGGAACGGGUCCGACGGUGAGGGACGAAGGCCAGGGGAGCAAACCGGAUUAGAUCCCCGGGUAGUCCUGGCUGUAAACGAUGCGGACUUUGUGUCGGACAAGCUAUGAGCUUGUCCGGUGCCGGAGGGAAACCGUUAAGUCCGCCGCCUGGGGAGUACGGCCGCAAGGCUGAAACUUAAAGGAAUUGGCGGG